CAUUCUUGCUCCAAGAGCGAUAUGCCUUGGACCAAKUCGGUUGCCUGUGUUGUAUACCUACGUUGAUGGAAUUUGCUCGUCCAAUCACCCCUUAUUCACCUUGUGCUGCUUACGCGGUGCGGGAUGAACCAUGCAGUGUCCUUAGUUGUCCGUUCUUGCCAUGCGUUCGCGCGACGCAUGAAAUGGCCAAUGUCGUGACACUCGAAUUCUCGGAUACGGAACCCUAAGCGGGCAACGGGUCUUUGGCCUUGAUUUGCCCAAACUAAGUUCUUACGAACGACUGUCGCGCCCGUUUUGACCUGAGGAUGCUUUCGGUCCGACUGGCUCAUGCGGUGCAGACGUCGAAGAGGAAUGCUACC
rnacentral:misc_RNA from 1 species